rnacentral:rRNA from 1 species
GACGAACGCUGGCGGCGUGCUUAACACAUGCAAGUCGAGCGGUAAGGGCCCUUUCGGGGGUACGACGAGCGGCGAACGGGUAGAGUAACACGUGGGUGACCUGCCCUCCAGCUCUGGGAUAAGCCUGGGAAACCGGGUCUAAUACCGGAUAUGACUCCAUGACGCAUGUUGUGGGGUGGAAAGCCUUGUGCGGCUGAGGAUGGGCCCGCGGCCUAUCAGCUUGUUGGUGGGGUGAUGGCCUACCAAGGCGACGACGGGUAGCCGGCCUGAGAGGGCGACCGGCCACACUGGGACUGAGACACGGCCCAGACUCCUACGGGAGGCAGCAGUGGGGAAUCUUGCGCAAUGGGCGAAAGCCUGACGCAGCGACGCCGCGUGAGGGAUGACGGCCU